rnacentral:rRNA from 1 species
AACGAACGCUGGCGGCAGGCCUAACACAUGCAAGUCGAGCGCCCUUUCGGGGGAGCGGCGGACGGGUGAGUAACGCGUGGGAAUAUGCCCUUCUCUACGGAAUAGCCUCGGGAAACUGAGAGUAAUACCGUAUACGCCCUGUGGGGGAAAGAUUUAUCGGGGAAGGAUUAGCCCGCGUUGGAUUAGGUAGUUGGUGGGGUAAUGGCCUACCAAGCCGACGAUCCAUAGCUGGUUUGAGAGGAUGAUCAGCCACACUGGGACUGAGACACGGCCCAGACUCCUACGGGAGGCAGCAGUGGGGAAUCUUAGACAAUGGGGGCAACCCUGAUCUAGCCAUGCCGCGUGAGUGAUGAAGGCCUUAGGGUUGUAAAGCUCUUUCAGCUGGGAAGAUAAUGACGGUACCAGCAGAAGAAGCCCCGACUAACUCCGUG